AUGUCAACUCACACUUGCCACAAAACAUUUCAUUGAAAAAUGACCAUGAAAUACAAUCCGCUGUCGAUAUAUUUACGGAUAUCUUACAAGAUGCUGUCAAAGUUUCUACACCCCCAGUCACCUUGGAGUACAACAAAAAUUCGAAAUGUACUGGGAACAUUCAGUCUCUAAUUAAAGAAAAGAGAACACUCAGACGUCAAUGGCAACAGUCGCGAUCUCCAAACAUAAAGGUUAAAACUUAAUCAGUGCCAAAAAAGACUUCACAUCUCCUUGGAUAUUUCCCUACCCCAAGGAAAGUAUCCGAAAUUGUUAUGAUACCAAAACCGGAAAAAUAUGUCACUCAAGUGACAUCAAAAGUAUUUUGCUGUUUUGAAGCCUAAUAUAUGUUUAUUAAAGUGAACACUAAAAAGUCGAUGUUGGAUUCUUGUUCGUCUGAACCCCACAAAACGAUUCGCCUUUCCAGAUAUUGACAUAGCCGAAAUCGACUGAACGACGUUAACACAUGCCGCUGGUCGCUCAAAAUUUGAAAAAAAUCCAAAUUUUUUGCCAAAAGGCUAUCAUAUGAAGUUAUUACUCCAGAACGGUCAAACAGAGUUGCAACAGCAUUUGUGCCUAAAUGUUGCUAUGAGGUAAAUAUUUUAACAUAUUAAUGUUAAAAGUCUUAAAGUAUAUAGAUUUAGUAUUUCAAAACGAUUUGAAAUAAAUUGCUUGAAAAAUUAAAAAGUUAUUAAAAUUUCCCCACAACAUUAACGUGUC